GCCUAGAUAGCUCACCUGGCAGAGCAUAGAACUGAAGUUUCUAAUGAGUUGGUUCGAGUCCUUCUCUGGGCA
rnacentral:tRNA from 1 species